GUCUUCUGGGUAAUGUAGUUUUGAUAAUGUUUCCCACUAUGUCCUACCAAACUGGGAGCUCUUCACCCAGUAAGUGUGAGAGGCGCAUAAAGGUCCCAGUUUCUCGCAAAUGCGGAGAAAACUAGAGGACGAAGUCUGUGGGGAAGGACCCAGGAACAAGGAUACUUUCUACCAAGAAUGUUUUUCUGAGCUGGUGAUAGAAAAUGUAGCUGAACAUUUUUCGUGGGGAGGAUGCUGGAAUCCUUAUCUCAACAUAUUCCAUCAUUCAUCCUCAGGUAUUUUGUGGCCCAAGACAGCCUCCACAAAGACACGGACUUCUGGGUCACUAGAUCAUUGGCUUUGCGGUCUCCUGAUGUGUGAAGGCUGAAAGGGUAGGAGGUUUAGGGGCCUCAGUUAAUCUGGUAAGUCUCUAAGAUAGAAAAGUAAACAGUCAUAUAGGCAAGUCAGCCUAUGUCUGAACACGGGGAAUGGACCUAAGCCUGGGCAUAUAAAUUUGGGAGUUGUGAGCCCUAUGUGGUUGUUCACACUUACAGUCCCAGCGUUCAGGAGAGUGAUGCAGGAGAAUUGCCGUAAACACCAUGGCAGCCUGGGCUACAGAGUUCUCCCUCCCCAUCUAUUCCCUCUUUCUUUUUUGAGAUAUAUAAACUCUAUACUCCCGACUUCCAGCCAGCCACGUGCUUUCCUGUGAUUUCAGCACGUGAGAAGUGGAGAUCAGGAGUUUGAAGUCAUACUCAGCCCUUUGCCAGAACCUGGAAGCAACCUAGAUGCCCCUCUACUGAAG